AUUGAACGCUGGUGGAAUGCUUUACACAUGCAAGUCGAACGGCAGCACGGACUUCGGUCUGGUGGCGAGUGGCGAACGGGUGAGUAAUGUAUCGGAACGUGCCCAGUCGUGGGGGAUAACGUAGUGAAAAUUACGCUAAUACCGCAUACGAUCUAUGGAUGGAAGCGGGGGAUCGCAAGACCUCGCGCGAUUGGAGCGGCCGAUAUCAGAUUAGGUAGUUGGUGGGGUAAAGGCCCACCAAGCCAACGAUCUGUAGCUGGUCUGAGAGGACGACCAGCCACACUGGAACUGAGACACGGUCCAGACUCCUACGGGAGGCAGCAGUGGGGAAUUUUGGACAAUGGGCGAAAGCCUGAUCCAGCCAUUCCGCGUGCAGGAUGAAGGCCCUCGGGUUGUAAACUGCUUUUGUACAGAACGAAAAGGUUUCUACUAAUACUAGGAGCUCAUGACGGUACUGUAAGAAUAAGCACCGGCUAACUACGUGCCAGCCGCCGCGGUAA
rnacentral:rRNA from 1 species